GUCACUUGCGUUCCAUUGCUCACGAAGACAAGAAGGAAUACUUUAUUGAAGCUAUAUGUUACAAACAUCCUAAUGAUUGAUUCUGUACUCAGUUUGAAAUGUUUCUUUGACCGAUAAUAUCACUUUUUGAAGUUUUUGUCCGAUAUAACGCUGACCAGAAUUAGUGUUUGGAUAUGUAUACCAAACGCGCUAACAAAAGAAGGUAUUUGGACAUAAAUAACGGACAUUUUCGAACAAAACAAACAUUUAUUGUGGACCUGGAAUGCUUUCUAAUGUAGAUCAUCAAAGGCCCACCCCUCCUCCGUCUCAUCGAGGGCCAUCCGGCAUACACAGUGAGACGCCUCAUGAAGGUUCGACCUUGGGGAAGGGGUCCCAGUACCCAUGGCCCAGAAGAGAGGUGCUGGGUCCCCGCUAAGGACAUCCUGGACCCGGCCGACAAUGCCAACUUUCACCGCCAGCACCCCGGUCAACCAGCCCUCCCGGUUCCGACCCGGGCUUCCUGCUCUGACACUGAGCCCGCUUGCCUGACCAUUCAGCCUGCCUUGACCUUGAGCCUGCCCCCACUGUACUUUUCGGAUGCUGACCUGGUUUAUGAACUUCUGCCUGUCCCUGAUCUGCUCAAUGCCUGCCCCUUGUAUUUCAAUAAA